CCCUAGUAACUGCGAGUGAAGCGGGAAAAGCUCAAAUUUAAAAUCUGGUAGCUUUCGGUUGCCCGAGUUGUAGUCUGGAGAAGCGUCUUCCGCGCUGGACCGUGUACAAGUCUCUUGGAACAGAGCGUCAUAGAGGGUGAGAAUCCCGUCUUUGACACGGACUACCAGUGCUUUGUGAUGCGCUCUCAAAGAGUCGAGUUGUUUGGGAAUGCAGCUCAAAAUGGGUGGUAAAUUCCAUCUAAAGCUAAAUAUUGGCGAGAGACCGAUAGCGAACAAGUACCGUGAGGGAAAGAUGAAAAGCACUUUGGAAAGAGAGUUAAACAGUACGUGAAAUUGCUGAAAGGGAAACGAUUGAAGUCAGUCGCGUCUUCUAGUACUCAGCCUUCCUUUUGGUUGGUGCAUUUACUAGUCGACGGGCCAGCAUCAGUUUUGGCUGCGGGAUAAAGGUCAGAGGAAUGUGGCACCUUCGGGUGUGUUAUAGCCUCUGGUCAUAUACCGUGGCUGGGACUGAGGAUCUCAGCACGCCUUUAUGGCGGGGGUUCGCCCACCUUCGUGCUUCGGAUGCUGGCGUAAUGGCUUUAAACGACCCGUCUUGAAACACGGACCAAGGAGUCUAACAUGCCUGCGAGUGUUUGGGUGGAAAACCCGAGCGCGUAAUGAAAGUGAAAGUUGGGAUCUCUGUCGUGGAGAGCACCGACGCCCGGACCAGACCUUCUGUGACGGAUCCGCGGUAGAGCAUGUAUGUUGGGACCCGAAAGAUGGUGAACUAUGCCUGAAUAGGGUGAAGCCAGAGGAAACUCUGGUGGAGGCUCGUAGCGAUUCUGACGUGCAAAUCGAUCGUCAAAUUUGGGUAUAGGGGCGAAAGACUAAUCGA
rnacentral:rRNA from 1 species